CUGUGACGUCACGGCCACGCCCCCGGCCAGGCGCGCGCGGGGUCUCCCCCUCACGGCCCCCCCGCCAUUUUCGGUGUCCGUUUCCUUCCGCCGCCGCUUUUCCUUUUCCUUCCGGGACGCGGCGGAACCGGGCCCGGGGGGGAAAAUCCAAACCCCCGCGGUUCCCGGGAUGAGCGGCCGCGUCCGGCCGGGCCCGCGGCGUCCAUGACAGGAGGAGCCGGCGCUGCUCCGAGACGCUCCGGGCCCGGGGGCUCCGCACGGAUCCGGCGCUCGGGCUCUCCCCGUUCCGGUGGCCCCGGGGGGCUCCGGGGGGCUCGGGGCCACCAUGAGUGAGGUGCUGGUGGUCAAAGAGGGGUGGCUGCACAAGA